rnacentral:rRNA from 1 species
ACUAGGUUGAAAUCAUUCCAUUUCUUGCCUUCAAAUGGUUCUGCUGGAGGAAUACUAACAGCUUGGAACGAUCAAGACUACUCCUGCACUUCUGUCACUGCUCUUAAGUUCUCCUUAACCUUACACUUCUCGGCCAGAGCUAGCAACGAUGAUUUCUCGAUCUCUAACAUUUAUGGUCCUUGCGUCAGCCUUGAGAAGAAAGCGUUUGUUGACGAACUUCUUCUCUUAGGCUCCUUUGUAACCGGCCCCUGGGCUCUUUUAGGCGAUUUCAACUUUACUCUAAAGCCAAACGAGCGCUCGAAUGACAACUUUAACCAUUCCGAAGCCUUUCUCUUCUCGUCUACCUUAAACCGUCUUAAUCUUCAGGAGCUUCCCCUUCUCGAUAGGCUAUUUACUUGGUCUAACCAACAAGACUCCCCGACUUUGGUGCCCUUGGAUAGG